rnacentral:rRNA from 1 species
GUGCAGCAGUCGCGAAAACUCCACAAUGCGCGAAAGCGCGAUGGGGCUAUCCCGAGUGCCGUCCGCUGAGGAUGGCUUUUCUCCAGUGUAAGGAGCUGGAGGAAUAAGGAGAGGGCAAGUCUGGUGUCAGCCGCCGCGGUAAUACCAGCUCUCCGAGUGGUAGGGACGUUUAUUGGGCUUAAAGCGUCCGUAGCCGGCUCAACAAGUCCUCCGUUAAAUCCAGCGAUUCAAUCGUUGGACUGCGGGGGAUACUGUUGGGCUAGGGGACGGGAGAGGCCGACGGUAUUCCCGGAGUAGGGGUGAAAUCCUAUAAUUCCGGGAGGACCACCAGUGGCGAAGGCUGUCGGCUAGAACGAGCUCGACGGUGAGGGACGAAAGCUGGGGGAGCGAACCGGAUUAGAUACCCCCGUAGU